AGCAAAGACCUGGGAGAAUGCAGGAUGCUUCCGGUAUCACAGAACCACAGCUCUCUUCUCCAUCAACACAAGAUCAGGGACUAGUCUGAUCUCAUCUGAGUCCCAUGAACUUGUCUAUAGGCUACAGGUAACCCUUGGAUUUAGAAGAGGGACUGAGUCAUGGAAGAAUCUCAAAUGG